rnacentral:rRNA from 2 species
UAGGGAAUUUUCGGCAAUGGGGGGAACCCUGACCGAGCAAUGCCGCGUGAAGGAUGAAGGCUUUCGGAUUGUAAACUUCUGUUGUAUAGGAAGAAAGGUAAGUGGAGUGGAAAGCCACUUAAUUGACGGUACUAUACUAGAAAGCCACGGCUAGCUACGUGCCAGCAGCCGCGGUAAUACGUAGGUGGCAAGCGUUAUCCGGAAUUAUUGGGCGUAAAGAGUGAGCAGGCGGUUAAGGAAGUCUAAGAUGAAAAGCUAUUGCUUAACGAUAGUUUGUUUUAGAAACUCCUUGGCUAGAGUACGGUAGAGGUAAGCGGAAUUCCAUGUGUAGCGGUGAAAUGCGCAGAUAUAUGGAGGAACACCAGUGGCGAAGGCGGCUUACUAGACCGGGACUGACGCUGAGUCACGAAAGCGUGGGUAGCAAAUAGG